UACGUAGGGUGCGAGCGUUGUCCGGAAUUAUUGGGCGUAAAGAGCUUGUAGGCGGUUUGUCGCGUCUGCCGUGAAAAUCCGGGGCUCAACCCCGGACUUGCGGUGGGUACGGGCAGACUAGAGUGUGGUAGGGGAGACUGGAAUUCCUGGUGUAGCGGUGAAAUGCGCAGAUAUCAGGAGGAACACCAAUGGCGAAGGCAGCUCGCUGGGACGGUACUGACGCUGAGACGCGAAAGCGUGGGGAGCAAACAGG
rnacentral:rRNA from 1 species